AACAGGUUUGGAACAACUUGUUGACAACUGUGACAACCUUGUCGAAAUUAUCAGACUUGUUGCAAUGUUGUUCACAUGCUUGAUAUAACAAGAUUGUUACAACCUUGUGUUGACAACCUUGUAACAUCCUUGUCACAUCAUGGUUGUAACAAACUCGUUAUUACUUGUUAGCACAAUCUUGUAACUACAGGGCUGAUAAUGCCAUCAAGCUUGUUACAAGUUGUUAACAGCUUGUUUUAAACAUGUG